rnacentral:tRNA from 1 species
CGGGGCGUAGCGCAGCUUGGUUAGCGCACUUGACUGGGGGUCAAGGGGUCGGAGGUUCGAAUCCUCUCGCCCCGA